UGAUCAGUGCAAAGCAGUCAGUCGCAUUGACAACUGCAGGAACACCCGUUUUCCUGGUGUUCUGGUGUUGCUUUGGAGUGAGCCUGUCGGAGCAAGCAGAGCUCUGGGCACUGCAGUGUGUCUGCAGGGCUGCUCUUGCUCCCGGGGGGAGCCCUGGGUGGUUGUGCCCUCACCCUGCUGUUGCCCAUAAGGCUCAAGCUCACAUCAGUGUCACUCGCUGCCCGUCCCUCCCUCUGCCACACACAUCAGAUCUUGCUCUUCAGGCCUCUGCACAGAACACAGUCGCCUCAGGUGAAGGAGUUUAAGUCUUGUCCUUCAAACCAACCUUUUUUUAAAAAAACUUGAAUUUCUUUUACCUUUACUACAUCUUUUUAAAUGAAAAAAAUGGAAAAAAAAAAAAAGAUCUCCUGUGAAUGUGCUAUUUACCGUUCAUUCUUUCUUCUUUCUUGGUUUUGAUUUGAAGCUAUGAAGCUUGGUGUCUGUGAAAAUGUUGUUCUUUCUCAGGAUAAUAAGCGGCAAUCAUCCCUGCCACAUAAAAGGCAGGAGAAAGGGGGAAACUUGGGGAACUAGUUUAAGUAUGAAGCUAAUUUUUAAGUUGUAGAUGAUGUGUAAAUCAAGGGUAAUACAUGGGAUGUCAGUAUCAAGCUGUGGCGUUUCUCUGGGUUCACGGUGUGUUGUUUGCAAUACACAGAAGCUCAGGGAUAAGUAUUUAAAAUGUGACCCAGAGAAACCCUAGUUUUGAUGUUGCAACUCUUGCUUCUUUCAUGACUUGUUUGGAGGACCCAUUAGAAGCUGAAUAAAGCCCCAUAUAGAGAUUUUGGGGGGGAAAACUUUUGCUUUGGCAUGUGGGAAGUUUGCCUACUGAAGGCUUAGGUGUGCCCUAAUGGUUGAAGCAUCCCGAAGGAGCACGUUGCUGUUUGGGCUGUUGCAAGGGGAGCUGCAGGGAGAGCAGGUUUUGGUAACUACACGUUUCUGCUGAAGGCACAUCAGCUCCCAGGGCUGGGAGAGGUUUGUCUGUAUUUCCACAUUACCUCAUCCUUCUGCCUUAUGUGUUUGAGUGCUCGUGGAAAAGGGGAAAAUGGGAAUUUCUCAGUAUGUCCCUGGCAGCCAGUCACAGUGUUUUCUGCGCUCAGUUUGUUGCUUGUGAAUUAGAGCAUCUUAAUUUCCAGUGUGUAUAGAUUUAUCAUUAUGGAUCAGUCAGGUUGUAGAUUCAGACUGCUUGAGAAAGGGGCUAAAGUGUGAAACUGGUUCAGUUACAGCUGGUGCCAGCACUGACCGAGAGUCAGGAAAACUUUGCAGGGCUGAAAACCACCUUCCCAGCACUCUCAGUGGUCAGGAUCUGCGGAUCCGAGUUUCAGCCAGCCCUCCAAAAAGCUGGUGAGGCCAAUCCAGGCCAUUAUAUUCCCCUUGAAAAAAAUGAAAUUGAAAAGAGCUCGUGUACAGCUGACCUCUAACAAGUCUAUGAAAGAAGCAACAUGGUUCAGUGGAAGAAAUGCCCCCAAGGGCAAAAAGAAACAGAAAUUGAAACCAGAUGACGAUCAACCUUAACAAAGCCUUUUGUGAUUCAUUGUUUUCUUUCAAUUUAUAAAAUGUCUUGUAAUAGUUGAUAACAUUAUUGACUCAAUUUCCAUAACUAAACUACCUCGUGUGACAUCCUGUUUAUCAUCUCAAAGGGAUUGUGUGAAAAACAAAAUACUGCCAGUGUUUGAAGACCAGGGGGGUGAUUGUGGAGUUUUGUUUCCCUUCCCAUGGGUUGUGGCUUGGUUCCUAUUACUGCCACAGCAUUUCAACCUGCUGGUGAUGGUUUUGACUUGGACUCCCAGCCCCAAAGAAGGUGUUGGGCUGUGCACACCGUGCUUUCACCUAGCACUGAUGUGCCAUGGUGGUGACCACUGUCACCACUGCCACAAUGAGCCACUGUUCACAGGGCGAGCAGUGUCCUGUGGCUGUAUGUGACAGUGAGGCAGUGUCUGUGACACUACAGGGGAAGGCUGAGCUCCAGCGUCCUUCCCAGUGGAGCACAGCUCCUGUCUGCAGCCACAGGGCAGGACGUGGCUCUUGCCGGUUUGGCUUUUGUUAGUGCCCAUCAAGCCACUGUUCCAGCUCUGUCCUGGUGCAGACACAAUGCAGAGGCUGCAUUUGUAGCCUGGACCUUGCAGAGCCCUUGUGUACGUCCUGGGUGUAAGUGUGCUGAAGGAGGAAGCGGGUCCAGUUUGCUGCAUGUGCUAGUGUCAGCCCAUUGUUGGUUUGUGGGAUGUUUCCAAGAUGGUUUGGUCCCGGUCUCCGGUUCCUUCCGCUGUUGUUCCAAGUGAUGGUUUCUUCCAGUAAAACACUUCAUUUUUCCCACAAUCCCUUGUGUAAAUCAGGGAAGCAGGAUGUUGCCUCGGCAUGACACACGGUGAACGUUGGCACGCUCAGAGCCAGGGCUGGGGCAGGAGACUGUGUCCGGCCACUGCCACCCUCACCCACAGUGCCCGAGGAGGAGCGGGUCCCAUGUGGCACCUCUCGGGAGCAGCCUCCCCGUCACUACACUAUGACCAAAUGAAUGUCUCUGCUGGCACGUCUCGGGCGCGCCGUGGCACAGCCGGUCCCCCUUGUGCAGUGGGACCGGCGCGGGUCAGUGUCAGCCUGACCUGCCCCUGCUCCGCUGCUCUGCUCUGUGACUUGACUACCUGUGGAAAUGUGACCAAUAAGUGUUGAACGCAUGUGUAGCGAGUGUUAGCUGUAUGAACUAAUAAAUGUGAAUUGUUCUGCA
rnacentral:lncRNA from 1 species